AGUCGAGCGACAGACAAGGAGCUUGCUCCUUUGACGUUAGCGGCGGACGGGUGAGUAACACGUGGGUAACCUACCUAUAAGACUGGGAUAACUUCGGGAAACCGGAGCUAAUACCGGAUAAUAUUUCGAACCGCAUGGUUCGAUAGUGAAAGAUGGUUUUGCUAUCACUUAUAGAUGGACCCGCGCCGUAUUAGCUAGUUGGUAAGGUAACGGCUUACCAAGGCGACGAUACGUAGCCGACCUGAGAGGGUGAUCGGCCACACUGGAACUGAGACACGGUCCAGACUCCUACGGGAGGCAGCAGUAGGGAAUCUUCCGCAAUGGGCGAAAGCCUGACGGAGCAACGCCGCGUGAGUGAUGAAGGUCUUCGGAUCGUAAAACUCUGUUAUUAGGGAAGAACAUACGUGUAAGUAACUGUGCACGUCUUGACGGUACCUAAUCAGAAAGCCACGGCUAACUACGUGCCAGCAGCCGCGGUAAUACGUAGGUGGCAAGCGUUAUCCGGAAUUAUUGGGCGUAAAGCGCGCGUAGGCGGUUUUUUAAGUCUGAUGUGAAAGCCCACGGCUCAACCGUGGAGGGUCAUUGGAAACUGGAAAACUUGAGUGCAGAAGAGGAAAGUGGAAUUCCAUGUGUAGCGGUGAAAUGCGCAGAGAUAUGGAGGAACACCAGUGGCGAAGGCGACUUUCUGGUCUGUAACUGACGCUGAUGUGCGAAAGCGUGGGGAUCAAACAGGAUUAGAUACCCGGGUAGUCCACGCCGUAAACGAUGAGUGCUAAGUGUUAGGGGGUUUCCGCCCCUUAGUGCUGCAGCUAACGCAUUAAGCACUCCGCCUGGGGAGUACGACCGCAAGGUUGAAACUCAAAGGAAUUGACGGGGACCCGCACAAGCGGUGGAGCAUGUGGUUUAAUUCGAAGCAACGCGAAGAACCUUACCAAAUCUUGACAUCCUUUGACAACUCUAGAGAUAGAGCCUUCCCCUUCGGGGGACAAAGUGACAGGUGGUGCAUGGUUGUCGUCAGCUCGUGUCGUGAGAUGUUGGGUUAAGUCCCGCAACGAGCGCAACCCUUAAGCUUAGUUGCCAUCAUUAAGUUGGGCACUCUAAGUUGACUGCCGGUGACAAACCGGAGGAAGGUGGGGAUGACGUCAAAUCAUCAUGCCCCUUAUGAUUUGGGCUACACACGUGCUACAAUGGACAAUACAAAGGGCAGCGAAACCGCGAGGUCAAGCAAAUCCCAUAAAGUUGUUCUCAGUUCGGAUUGUAGUCUGCAACUCGACUACAUGAAGCUGGAAUCGCUAGUAAUCGUAGAUCAGCAUGCUACGGUGAAUACGUUCCCGGGUCUUGUACACACCGCCCGUCACACCACGAGAGUUUGUAACACCCGAAGCCGGUGGAGUAACCAUUGGAGCUAGCC
rnacentral:rRNA from 1 species